rnacentral:rRNA from 1 species
UAAUACGGAGGAUCCGAGCGUUAUCCGGAUUUAUUGGGUUUAAAGGGUGCGUAGGCGGAAUUUUAAGUUAGUCGUUAAAUCUCGGGGCUCAACCCCGACGUUGCGAUUAAUACUGGGAUUCUAGAGAUUAGAUGCAGAGGGCGGAAUGUGUAGUGUAGCGGUGAAAUGCUUAGAUAUUACACAGAACACCGAUUGCGAAGGCAGCUCUCUAAUCUACAUCUGACGCUGAGGCACGAAAGCGUGGGGAUCAAACAGGAUUAGAUACCCUGGUAGUCCACGCUGUAAACGAUGAUAACUCGUUGUCGGCGAUACACAGUCGGUGACCAAGCGAAAGCGAUAAGUUAUCCACCUGGGGAGUACGUUCGCAAGAAUG